UACGUAGGGGGCAAGCGUUGUUCGGAAUUACUGGGCGUAAAGGGCGCGUAGGCGGUCCGUCACGUCGGGCGUGAAAACCCAGGGCUCAACCCUGGGCCUGCGUUCGAUACGGGCGGACUAGAGUUCGGUAGGGGAGACUGGAAUUCCUGGUGUAGCGGUGAAAUGCGCAGAUAUCAGGAGGAACACCGGUGGCGAAGGCGGGUCUCUGGGCCGAUACUGACGCUGAGGAGCGAAAGCGUGGGGAGCAAACAGG
rnacentral:rRNA from 1 species